UACGAAGGGGGCUAGCGUUGUUCGGAAUCACUGGGCGUAAAGGGCGCGUAGGCGGCUGUUCAAGUCGGGGGUGAAAUCCCGUGGCUCAACCACGGAAUGGCCUUCGAUACUGGAUGGCUCGAGACCGGAAGAGGUGAGUGGAACUGCGAGUGUAGAGGUGAAAUUCGUAGAUAUUCGCAAGAACACCAGUGGCGAAGGCGGCUCACUGGUCCGGUUCUGACGCUGAGGCGCGAAAGCGUGGGGAGCAAACAGG
rnacentral:rRNA from 1 species